AGUGAACGCUGGCGGUAGGCCUAACACAUGCAAGUCGAACGGCAGCACAGUAAGAGCUUGCUCUUACGGGUGGCGAGUGGCGGACGGGUGAGGAAUACAUCGGAAUCUACUUUUUCGUGGGGGAUAACGUAGGGAAACGUACGCUAAUACCGCAUACGACCUACGGGUGAAAGCAGGGGAUGUUCGGACCUUGCGCGAUUGAAUGAGCCGAUGUCGGAUUAGCUAGUUGGCGGGGUAAAGGCCCACCAAGGCGACGAUCCGUAGCUGGUCUGAGAGGAUGAUCAGCCACACUGGAACUGAGACACGGUCCAGACUCCUACGGGAGGCAGCAGUGGGGAAUAUUGGACAAUGGGCGCAAGCCUGAUCCAGCCAUACCGCGUGGGUGAAGAAGGCCUUCGGGUUGUAAAGCCCUUUUGUUGGGAAAGAAAAGCAGCAGGUUAAUACCCCGCUGUUCUGACGGUACCCAAAGAAUAAGCACCGGCUAACUUCGUG
rnacentral:rRNA from 1 species